GAAGAAAAAAGGAACUCAAAGCAGAAACAUGAGAUGUGUCAUGGGCCAAAAGAUCGAUUUGUUGUUUCAGGAGGCUUCCUUCUUCCUUCUUCCUUCUUCCUUCCUUUCCUUCUAUGCUUGGGUCAAA
rnacentral:ribozyme from 1 species